UGCGUACCUUUUGUAUAAUGGGUCAGCGACUUAUAUUCUGUAGCAAGGUUAACCGAAUAGGGGAGCCGGAGGGAAACCGAGUCUUAAUUGGGCGUUAAGUUGCAGGGUAUAGACCCGAAACCCGGUGAUCUAGCCAUGGGCAGGUUGAAGGUUGGGUAACACUAACUGGAGGACCGAACCGACUAAUGUUGAAAAAUUAGCGGAUGACCUGUGGCUGGGGGUGAAAGGCCAAUCAAACCGGGAGAUAGCUGGUUCUCCCCGAAAGCUAUUUAGGUAGCGCCUCGUGAAUUCAUCUCCGGGGGUAGAGCACUGUUUCGGCUAGGGGGCCAUCCCGGCUUACCAACCCGAUGCAAACUGCGAAUACCGGAGAAUGUUAUCACGGGAGACACACGGCGGGUGCUAACGUCCGUCGUGAAGAGGGAAACAACCCAGACCGCCAGCUAAGGUCCCAAAGUCAUGGUUAAGUGGGAAACGAUGUGGGAAGGCCCAGACAGCCAGGAUGUUGGCUUAGAAGCAGCCAUCAUUUAAAGAAAGCGUAAUAGCUCACUGGUCGAGUCGGCCUGCGCGGAAGAUGUAACGGGGCUAAACCAUGCACCGAAGCUGCGGCAGCGAACGUAUCACCCAAGACAACUUUACGGAGUUGACGAUUGACGGAGCGAAGCGACGUCAAAGCGUUCAUUAAAGUCGAGUUGGCUUAGGGAUACGUUCGUUGGGUAGGGGAGCGUUCUGUAAGCCUGUGAAGGUGUGUCGUGAGGCAUGCUGGAGGUAUCAGAAGUGCGAAUGCUGACAUAAGUAACGAUAAAGCGGGUGAAAAGCCCGCUCGCCGGAAGACCAAGGGUUCCUGUCCAACGUUAAUCGGGGCAGGGUGAGUCGACCCCUAAGGCGAGGCCGAAAGGCGUAGUCGAUGGGAAACGGGUUAAUAUUCCCGUACUUGGUGUUACUGCGAAGGGGGGACGGAGAAGGCUAUGUUGGCCGGGCGACGGUUGUCCCGGUUUAAGCGUGUAGGUGUGUGUUCCAGGUAAAUCCGGUUCACUUUAACACUGAGGC
rnacentral:rRNA from 1 species